rnacentral:lncRNA from 8 species
UAUUUAAUUAUCCUCCAUCUGCAGAAGCUCCUGACUCCUCUCUGUCUCACUCCACGCUAUCUCACUCCUUCUGUCUCUCUCUAUCUCACUCUUCCUGUUUCUCUCUUAUCUCACUCCUCCCUGUCUCUCUCCUAUCUCACUCCUCCCUGUCUCUCUCUAUCUCACUCCUCCCUGUCUCUCUCUGUCUCUCUCCUAUCUCACUCCUCCCUGUCUCUCUCCUAUCUCACUCCAACCUGUCUCUCUCUGUCUCUCUCCUAUCUCACUCCUCCCUGUCUCUCUCUGUCUCUCUCCUAUCUCACUCAUCCCUGUCUCUCUCUGUCUCUCUCCUAUCUCACUCCUACCUGUCUCUCUCUGUCUCUCUCUAUCUCACUCCUCCCUGUCUCUCUCUGUCUCUCUCCUAUCUCACUCAUCCCUGUCUCUCCCCUAUCUCACUCCUCCCUGUCUCUCUCCUAUCUCACUCCUCUCAGUCUCUCUCUAUUUCACUCCUCUGUCUCUCUCUAUCUCACACCUCUCUGUCUCUAUCUCACUCCUCCCUGUCUCUCUCCUAUCUCACUCCUCACCUAUCUCUCUCUAUUCUCACUCCUCACUGUCUCUCUCCCAUUUCACUCCUCUCUCUCUCUCUAUUUCACUCCUCUGUCUCUCUCUAUUUCACACCUCUCUGUCUCUCUCUAUCUCACUCCUCCCUGUCUCUCUCCUAUCUCACUCCUCCCUGUCUCUCUCCUAUCUCACUCAUCCCUGUCUCUCCCCUAUCACACUCAUCCCUGUCUCUCUCCUAUCACACUCCACUGUCUCUCUCUAUCUCACUCCUCACUUUCUCUCUUUAUCUCACUCCUCACUGUCUCUCUUUAUCUCACUCCUCUCUGUCUCUCUCUAUCUCACUCCUCUGUCUCUUUCUAUCUGACUAUGCUCUGUCUCUAUCCUCUCUAUCUCACUCCUCUCUCUCUCUCUAUCUCACUCCUCUGUCUCUAUCUAUCUCACUCAUCUGUCUCGCUCCUCUCUAUCUCACUCCUCUCUGUCUCUCUAAUCUCUAUCUCACUCCUCUCUCUCUAUCUCACUCCUCUCUCUCUAUCUGACUACUCUCUGUCUCUCUUCUCUCUAUCUCACUCUUCCUGUCUCUCUCAUAUCUCACUCCUCUAUGUCUCUCUCUAUCUCACUCCUCUGUCUAUCUCACUCCUCUCUGUCUCUCUCAAGCUCACUCCUCUGUCAAUCACACUCCUCACUGUCUCGCUCUAUCUCACUCCUCACAGUCUCUUUAUCUCACUCCUCACUGUCUCUCUCUAUCUCACUCCUCUCUGUCUCUCUCUAUAUCACUCCUCUGUCUCUCUCUAUCUGACUCCUCUCUGUCUCUAUCUAUCUCACUCAUCUGUCUUGCUCCUCUCUAUCUCACUCCUCUCUGUCUCUCUCCUCUCUAUCUCACUCCUCACUGGCUCUCUCCUCUCUAUCGCACUGUCUCUCUCCUCUCUAUCUCACUCCUCACUGUCUCUCUCAUCUCUAUCUCACUUAGCACUGUCUCUCUAUCCCACUCCUCACUGUCUCUCUCCUCCCUAUCUCACUGUCUCUCUCCCUCUAUCUCAAUGUCUCUCUCCUCUCUAUUUCACACCUCGCUCUCUCUCCUCUCUAUCUCACUGUCUAUCUGUUUCUCUCUAUCUCACUCCUCUGUCUCUCUAUAUCUGA